rnacentral:rRNA from 1 species
UAGGGAAUCUUCCGCAAUGGACGCAAGUCUGACGGAGCAACGCCGCGUGAGUGAAGAAGGAUUUCGGUUCGUAAAACUCUGUUGUUAGAGAAGAACAGCGCAUAGAGUAACUGUUAUGCGUGUGACGGUAUCUAACCAGAAAGCCACGGCUAACUACGUGCCAGCAGCCGCGGUAAUACGUAGGUGGCAAGCGUUGUCCGGAUUUAUUGGGCGUAAAGCGAGCGCAGGCGGUCAAUUAAGUCUGAUGUGAAAGCCCCCGGCUCAACCGGGGAGGGUCAUUGGAAACUGGUUGGCUUGAGUGCAGAAGAGGAGAGUGGAAUUCCAUGUGUAGCGGUGAAAUGCGUAGAUAUAAGGAGGAACACCGGUGGCGAAAGCGGCUCUCUGGUCUGUAACUGACGCUGAGGCUCGAAAGCGUGGGGAGCGAACAGG